CCAGACAUACUCGACAACUUCAGCCAUGAACUUCAAGGUUCGUCCACAGUGUGUAAAGCAUCCAAGAGAACUACGACUGUCGAGCAUUAACACGACGGCGAUGAAAAUUGAAUCCAAGCAGCUGCGAGCUAAAUCGACAACCUUGUCGACAAACAUAUAUUUGGACCGAACGGAUACGGGCGGACGGACCACGUGUGAGACGAUGGAGCGCUUCCAGGUAAAACAGUCCUAACUGAGAUCGCAGUCGAAAGCCAAGAGCCCGUAUACGGGUCUGUACGUAAGUAUAAGCACGUGAAUCACCAGGCAUUUACUGGGAGCGUAAUAACAGCUCUCCGCGGCUCGUUAGAACUUCCAGGAACCCGGUUUGAUCUUUAUCGAGCGGCGUUGAAAAUUACACCCGCCUAACGAGAUUUGUCUAAUCACGGUCAUUUUGAGAAUCGGAAACUGCUCGGGACCCACAAAAUUUACACGGGGUACAAAAAAGGAUUCCGUGUCUCUCUUCGUUUUGAAGACGCGGAUGGGUUACGGGGAUGAAAUUUCGAUUAGAAGAAGGAGAGUGGCUGGCUGUUAUUUGAUACACGAAAGGGUCGAGCACCCAGCCCCUAUGCCAUAUAAAACCAUACAUAUAUACAGUGAUACAGUAAACUUUCAUUAUAUCCGAAUUAAAUAGUAAUCACGCGCCGGCCAGUUACCGCGGUCCAUUACGUGGACAGAGCCAAGUCUCGCAAUCAGACAAAAAUAAUCCUAUCGCCCGUUGUGAAUGCGUCACGUUCAAUUCGCCGUGGAUUGACAGGCGAAAUGUCAGAUUGACAGACGUGACUAAAGCGACGUAUCCGCGAGGUCCAUACCUGCCAAUAAUUCAGGUAAACAAUAUAACGAUCGGACACGAUUUUCUUUUUUUACAUAUAAUCGCGCUUAGUCAGAAAACUGACCCCCAACUACAUUGGCGCAUGCGCAGAUACGUCGUGAACAAAGCGAAAUCCAAAGACAACGGCCGAGCCCGUUAUUUUCUCGUUGAUUACGAGCAUUACCUGUCGAUUGGCAUGGAGAGGAUGAUUGAGGGGAGGUAGGUGGUUGACGGUGGUGGGGAGGGGCGGGCAGGGGAGAGAUAAUGAUUGAAAAUAACAGGAAUCACAUAAACGUGCAAUCACGUCAGACUCGGCCAUACCGGCGUAGCUAUAUGGGAAUGAUAACAGCCUUCGAAGGAGUCGGAUCAUCCCAAUCGAAGACAAGCAUUAUAAUAAUGAGCUUCAUUAUGUCCAGAUUAUAGAAUUAGGACGUAGUCGUAAUAAAUCACUACCCCUGCCACGGUCUCCAUCUUGAGUCAAGUCCAUCAAUCUUCCGAACCCAUCGACACUCGACCAUUUUUAACCUGUCAGCGGAAAGAUGUCCCGACCCCCCUCCCCCUCCUUUCCCUCCCCCCUUCGGGCCCAUCAACCCGGUAAUUACUGUAUUACGUUGCAAACUUAAAAACAGUUUAACCAUAUCCUUCUAAGCUGUGGAUGCUGCGAGAGGAAUAAUAAAAUUCAUCUUCGCUGGACCAAAAGCGUGCCUCUCUUAACACACUUGGUAUUCUUCGUAUACAGUCUUGGACGUUAUUACCCUUUACGUACUCUAUGGUAUUGUUACGUAACUUAUUUAACGCCGCUGGAGUACCGCUGAUAAGCCUGAUCUCGAUGAUUUUCUGUCAGUCAUUGAAAAAGAUAAAUUAGCAUUUAUAGGGCAUAUAAUAUGUAUGCAUUACUGUCCAAGACGAAACUGAGUGUUUCUUUACGUCAUUUUAAUUUUGGUACUUUUUACUCGUCUUCUUGUACCCUCUUUCGAGAUCGGAUCUGACGUAGGUUUAAGCAGAAAAUUCAUUGGUACUUGAUGCCAGGAUUAUAUCUCCGGUCGUUUCAAAGUUACAGCCACUUAAGUGUCGACCCUACGAUAUUACCUAGAGGGGCGUGUCGUAUUUUAUUACUUCUCGAAGAUGAAUCUUACUUGGACGUACCGAAACGGAAUAUAGUCAUCUCCGUUGUACGUUACGCGUAUAUGGUAGCAUGUGGAUAUUUUUUUUUUUUUAAUUAAAUACGAUUUCUCCACGUGCUCCGUUUACCUUAAUCUCGUAUUUUCUAUACUGCGGGACACCUUGAAUGCUGAGAAUUACGUUAAUGGGGUAUAUCUCCUUUUAACUCGGGUCCAUUUAUAGUCUUGGUCGGAGGGACGACUUAAAACUACUGGAUGCCGUCCUGCAUUCCGUGAUGAAGUUGCCGAGAGGAAUAUCGAUCGGAGCCAACUUCACGAUGGUAAAUAAUGUACGUUGAUAUGUUAAAGGGAGGACGAGUGACGAUUGAGAAGUUGGGAUACGAGAGGAUUGGAAUGCACUCAAGAUUAGAUCGGAUUACUUACUUGCCCGACUGUACAAUAUAUGCAUUUUCUAUGGUGGAAUAAUUAUUUGAAUCUGACUGUACUAUUUUCGUCUCUGUCAGUCGCACUCUUAAAACGGUGAUUGACGCGGCUUGUUACCUCGAUGAGUAUCCGCCUUUAAACAACCCAGUCGAUACCAUAAAUGUUUUUCAGGAUUCCCAUCUGGAGCUUGUGCUAUUCCGUCUUCGAAGACGCUUAGCCAUUUCCGGUUGGUUUCUUUUGCUGUCUUAUUCUCCUGGAGAUCAUUUAUCUGCUGGUGCGAAAGGAACUCGAUAGCGAUCCGCACUUGGGGAAGCAACAUAGAAAAUACAAGUAGCGACAGUAGAGAGGAUGCUUGCAGAAACAUCCCUUCAGGACAGCUUAGGAAUUACUACGUUGACUCAUGGGAUUAUCGGUGGAAAGUAUUUCCCGGCUGAGACGAUUGAGUUGAAAGACUUUAGCAGUUUAUCGAAUUGGAAGCUGCCUACCUCACAAUUACUCUCGAGAGAGAUCCACACUCUCGUUGGUCUGACAUCGCCGAAAAAACGCACGCGGAAUAUGCUACGGAUCAGUACCAUUUGCUAUCUGGAAGAUGUCUUUCGGAAAAGGAAUAAUGUAUUCGCAUUAUAUUCAGACCCGUGGAUGGUGUACAAUGGAGGUUAGAUGUGUCAGUAUACAUUGUAUAUAUAUAUAUAUAUGUACCAGCAUACAGAUUGAUACCACAACCUGGUAGACAGACCAAGACGAAUCCGUGGCUUUCCAAUCCAUUUGCUGGCACAUCGAGAGGCUCCCAGUGAUUCUCCUCGUUUCAAUAAUGAAUCGAUUGACCCUUGAAGAAAGACAACGUCCCUUAACCUUUCAGAAUAAAUGAUGAUCCGACCUCGGAGAAGUCGUCGGGAAUUGUAACAUCUUCAAGAAAAAUAUACAGUAAAAAUAUGCAAUGCUGCACUCUUAUACGAAUGCUUGAGCAUAUAGAAUAUAUAAUAUAUAAAAAUUUUAUAUAAUUAAAAUAUUAAAAAAUUUAUGUAAUUUCGAUAUAUCUCUAAUUGCUAAAGUACCCAUCACUGUACCGAAGCCCUUUAGUCACUGAUUCCCUGACAAAACCAAAUUCGCCGAAUAACAUCGAAAACCCGACGUCAGUCAAGAGACGGUAGGACGUCGAAAUCCGCCGGCGCCAACAAAUCCGUUGAAGGACUUUGCCCAAGUGCAAUAUCACUUUCUUCGUCCGUUUAUCCGUCCUCGUCGUGAAUUUAUGCCUGACGCAGAACAUCGCCGGAAGUCGCUUCUUGACGUGGGCACUCGGCGUCAUUUUCUUGCCUGGUACUCGGGCCCCGACACUUGGCACUCGACAUAUUCAGCCAUGGAGCCAGGCACCAUUGCACGCUGGGUACGCGAAGACAGGACGCUUUAACGUCCCUGGGAUGUCCUUAGGGAGUUGGUACACUACCGAUAUGUAAAGGACGCAACAGCUGGAUACGUUCGAGAGGGUUAAAACGGGCCCGAGUGAAUGACUCGAAACGUGUUUCUAUUAUAAAACAGGAUCGUAUCUCAGCCAUAAUAAUUGGCUGGUCGUAUAUCUACUCGAAAUGGCUGCUUAGCAAAGCAAGUAUCCGCAAACGAGUUGGCUGCGCCAAGGAUAAUUUAAUGCUACGUUAAACUGUCAAUGCUGAUGAACGUCGUGUCGUAAGAGGCCUCGUAAAGAUGGCAUCGCUCUCUGACAACCGAUAUAACCGGAAGGUAUACCGCGUACAGAUAUACUAUAGCGUAACAAUCUGCAAAUAAAAACCAACCGUCUCAUCCAUACCUCAGCAUUUGUCUCUUAUCCAGUUCCACUCCCGGAGGACGACUCCCUCCUCGGACGGCUUUACGUUCCCUUAACGCGAACCUUUUCGGAGUAGACUUCCGGUUGGCCAACGAAGCCCUGGUAGGAUUUCGAAUGUUUUCACGAGACGCUAAAUCCAUUAUCCCAGCCUACGUAUACUAAUAGUAUUUUGAAAAUUGCCUUUAACGUCACUUUCUAAGUAAUUUGAUUCGUUGAAAAUGCUGCCUUAAGGCUGUGAGAAUGGCCUUGAAUAUUUCAUUUAAAUAACCUUAGUUUGGUACUCUCGAUUAAAUUGGUGUAUUGAUAAAAACUUUUUUUCGCAUCUACCGAUGCAUCAGGUACGUAUAUAUGUAUACAUAAGGAAUAUGGACGUUGUCGAGGUUGGCCAUUCAUGAAUACAUUAUCCUUUCUAACGAGGCGAAUAGGUCAAGUAGACGGAGUCGCAGUGCUCGUCCAUAAAUCACUCAAAGGGCAGGCGAGAGAUCAGACUCGACCCCGCAACCUCAACUCAACUCGACUUCUCAUGCAUCUGCUUCCGCUUUUUGCCAGCGGCGGGUCUCGUUGUUUUAUUCAACUGUAAAAUUACGGCCCGUCAUCCGUUUCAUUUUUUUUUAAAUUUUUUUUUUCAUUUUUUUUUUCGUUCUCUUAUCCAAACCUGCACGCAGCACGACGCGUUCCACAUCCUGGCGCGAGUAGAGUUCCAGGGCUCUUACGAAUUAAAGCCGAACGGGGUCUCCGAUUUACUUUUGGUUAUCAGGAGAGUUCACGCGAGACUGUAAACUAGGUCAGAUUAUGACAUUACAACGCGGGUGUAUAUAUACGUAUAUAUCGUUGCUCAGUUGAUCCAUAAAAGCACUGAAACGUCAUUCAGACAGAAUUGAUGACACCGUGCGACUGGUACUGAUCCAUUCUCUUGGCCGGUUGUAUAUGACAAUAAAUUUAAUCGUCGAGUCACGCGUCUGAUAAGCGAAUGAAAAUUUAUGGGAAUGCGAGUAUGUCGACUGAUUAUUGAUUCGUAUUAGCGUGACAGUCGCGAUGUACUUCGCGGCGUGAAAAUUCCUGUCAAAUUUACUUCACUCGGUAUUAUUAAUUAAUGACAGAUUCUGCAUGGACGAUCGAUUUGUACUUUAUUAUUUAAUAUUAAUCGACCCGUUGCCACAAUUAUUGGUCAGGCACCUGUGAACGCGACCCGAUCGAUAAUUGCCCAUUGAGGCCGACACGUGUGAUAAUAUUCUUCAAGAAUCAUGCACCCGUGCACACAGUCGUUCCACGAGUCUCUCCAAAAGCAAUUUUACUCGUGAACACGCUAUAGUAAGAGUCACGUGGUUUAGCUAUACUGCAAACACUUGGUCCGUCCAUGCUCUGUCUGAAGUCGUACCUUAAAUUUAGAUUUCGAUAUAUUAUAUUUAUUACCCAAUGUAAAUAUUUCAGUAUCGUCUGAAGUUUUUUUUUUCUAUUUAUUUUUCAUCUAUAUAUUUCCGCAAGCAUCUUCCAUCGUAUUUCCCUGCUUGCUACGUAGGACAAAAUUUAUUGCUCUUCGUCACCGCGAGAUUUCGAAUAUUACACGAGUGCCAAAGUAUUUACGUUUGGCAUUAUUUUGCCGAAAAUUAACAUCACGACGUUUCGUUCUGUAACGAACGACUUUAGGUGGUUCGGAUGAGAGGAGUUUUAAUGGUGGAUUUAUUGUGAGAGAAAGAAAACAGGACAAAGACGUCGAUAGAGUAAGAAACGAUCUGUUGUAUUUCAGUUUUGCAGAGAUUCAAACAAGUUCGAGUAACGUAGUAACAAUAAUAAAACAAUUAAUUAAAAAAAAAAAAA